GUCCGGCUGAAGAGUGCCGAAUAGGACGAAAUGCGCAUCCUUGAU
rnacentral:hammerhead_ribozyme from 1 species